CAGCCGCCACGGUAAUACGUAGGGUGCAAGCGUUAAUCGGAAUUACUGGGCGUAAAGCGUGCGCAGGCGGCUAUAUAAGUCAGAUGUGAAAUCCCCGGGCUCAACCUGGGAACUGCAUUUGAGACUGUAUGGCUAGAGUGUGUCAGAGGGGGGUAGAAUUCCACGUGUAGCAGUGAAAUGCGUAGAUAUGUGGAGGAAUAUCGAUGGCGAAGGCAGCCCCCUGGGAUAACACUGACGCUCAUGCACGAAAGCGUGGGGAGCAAACAGGAUUAGAUACCCCUGUAGUCCCUGUCUCUUAUAA
rnacentral:rRNA from 1 species